GAGUCUAAAAGGAGGAGGCGAAUCGAACGCAAAAAUUAUGGGCCCAGUUUUUGAGAUCUAAAUGAAGUUCGAAAAUCGCCGUUAGGGGCGCUUGUGAUGAUUGGGAUACUAGAAAUACACAGCUUCUUAUGGCAAGAAUAACUAUUUUGUUAUAAAUUAUAGAGCCAAGUUAAUAUUUGGGCAUAUUUUUACCAGAGUUAGCUUUUAGAAACGUGGUUUUUCUAAUUGAGCAAUGUGCGUGGCUAAAAUUGUGAAUACAAAACCUUAAAUUUGAGUUUGAAAAUGCAUACACGACCGAAGAAACAUAUAAGCUGCUAAAAUAAAUCUUCCCUAGAACUGUUGUACAAAAAAGAUAGAAGUUCCAGCAACAAAUUUAUCACCAGUUCAACCUUUGAUUUGAUGUAAACAGUAAUUGUUUCUUGAUGAGAAAUGCGAAUGAAAUAGUUUAUGGUGUGAUUGUGUUAGUGUUUUAUUAAUAGUUUUGUUGAUGCAGUUUAAAGGUUCAUAGUUUUUCAUUAAAACAUUUGAAAUUGACAUGUUUACAUGCAGUUUAGUGUGAUACCAUUUUAAUAAACAUUAAAAUCUUUCGAACUA